GAUGAACGCUGGCGGCGUGCCUAACACAUGCAAGUCGAGCGAAGCGCUUAAAUUAGAUUUCUUCGGAAUGACGAUCUUUGUGACUGAGCGGCGGACGGGUGAGUAACGCGUGGGUAACCUGCCUCAUACAGGGGGAUAACAGUUAGAAAUGACUGCUAAUACCGCAUAAGACCCCAGCUUCGCAUGAAGCGGUGGUAAAAACUCCGGUGGUAUGAGAUGGACCCGCGUCUGAUUAGCUAGUUGGUAAGGUAACGGCUUACCAAGGCGACGAUCAGUAGCCGACCUGAGAGGGUGACCGGCCACAUUGGGACUGAGACACGGCCCAGACUCCUACGGGAGGCAGCAGUGGGGAAUAUUGCACAAUGGGGGAAACCCUGAUGCAGCGACGCCGCGUGAAGGAUGAAGUAUUUCGGUAUGUAAACUUCUAUCAGCAGGGAAGAAAGUGACGGUACCUGACUAAGAAGCCCCGGCUAACUACGUG
rnacentral:rRNA from 1 species